rnacentral:lncRNA from 1 species
UAAAUUGUAGUAGGUCCCUAGUGUAGGAAACUACUACUUUGGCUAAAUGAAAAGCGGAAAGGAAAAAGGGAAAAUCAAAGCUCUGAACGGUAAAAGAAAACAAUGUUGCUGAAGAAAAAUAAAAGAAAAACAGAAUUGUUGUGGAAAAAUGCAGAGAGAAAAGGUCUUGAAAGCUGGCUUUAGAGAGAAAAAUUAAGCAUGCCCGUAGGUUUCCAAC